rnacentral:rRNA from 1 species
UACGGAGGAUCCAAGCGUUAUCCGGAAUCAUUGGGUUUAAAGGGUCCGUAGGCGGUUUAGUAAGUCAGUGGUGAAAGCCCAUCGCUCAACGGUGGAACGGCCAUUGAUACUGCUAAACUUGAAUUAUUGUGAAGUAACUAGAAUAUGUAGUGUAGCGGUGAAAUGCUUAGAGAUUACAUGGAAUACCAAUUGCGAAGGCAGGUUACUAACAAUAUAUUGACGCUGAUGGACGAAAGCGUGGGUAGCGAACAGG